rnacentral:rRNA from 1 species
UACGUAGGAGACGAGCGUUGUCCGGAGUUACUGGGCGUAAAGGGUGCGCAGGUGGCCGCGCGCGUGGGGGGUGAAAUCGCCUGGCUUAACUGGGCGGGGGCCUUCCAGACGGCGUGGCUUGAGCAGCGGAGGGGGGCGUGGAAUUCCGGGUGGAGCGGUGAAAUGCGUAGAGAUCCGGAGGAACACCGACGGCGCAGGCAGCGCCCUGGUCGCUUGCUGACACUGAGGCACGAAAGCAGGGGGAGCAAACAGG